GACGAACGCUGGCGGCGUGCCUAAUACAUGCAAGUAGAACGCACAGUUUAUACCGUAGCUUGCUACACCAUAGACUGUGAGUUGCGAACGGGUGAGUAACGCGUAGGUAACCUGCCUGGUAGCGGGGGAUAACUAUUGGAAACGAUAGCUAAUACCGCAUAAUAUUAAUUAUUGCAUGAUAAUUAAUUGAAAGGUGCAAUUGCACCACUACCAGAUGGACCUGCGUUGUAUUAGCUAGUAGGUGGGGUAACGGCUCACCUAGGCGACGAUACAUAGCCGACCUGGGAGGGUGAUCGGCCACACUGGGACUGAGACACGGCCCAGACUCCUACGGGAGGCAGCAGUAGGGAAUCUUCGGCAAUGGACGAAAGUCUGACCGAGCAACGCCGCGUGAGUGAAGAAGGUUUUCGGAUCGUAAAGCUCUGUUGUAAGAGAAGAACGGGUGUGAGAGUGGAAAGUUCACACUGUGACGGUAUCUUACCAGAAAGGGACGGCUAACUACGUG
rnacentral:rRNA from 1 species